AUCUCACAAGUAUAGGAAAAGAGUAGGAGAUCCAUUUUUAUUUAGAAAAGUAAUCAAGAAAGGUAUUUUGGCUGCUACAGUUUAUCCUGUUCCCUAUUUUUGCAAUGGGGUUCUUUGAACUUUGAUAAGAAGGAAGCAUUUAUAAAGUAUCGAAUGAGAAAGUUCACAAAUAGAUUCAUAGCUGGAAUAAAAUGUAUUAUUUAAAUUCAGAAACUGAUCUUAAAAUUUAUAUUAGCUAGAAUAGUCAUACAGUGUUCCUCUUGAUUGGUGUACCAUGUAGAGGUCUCUAUGGGUCAAAAGGUGGCUGUGACCCAUGCUAUGUAAGACCUGGCCUUCUAUUUUCCCCUUGUGCCUUGUAUGUUUCCUUUUUGAACCACAAACUCAAAACUCAAAGAGCUAAUUCAUGCCAUUUUCUCAGAACUUAUGCUUGAUUUUUUUUUUUUUGCAAAUUCCUAGCCAUAGUUUUGUUUAAAUAACAAGUUUUGUUUAAAUAACAAGGAGCCACUCAAAAUACAGAGAAUCAAUGAAAUAACAGGGAAAAUGCUUUAGCAGAGAAGCAACAAGAUGCCUUUUGCAAGCUGUGUUCCUAGGACAGGUUCUUCAGGCUCUCUAUAUGAGUGAUCAUUUCUGGACACCACAGGGUCUUCUCUAGUCUCAGAGGACAGUAUUCAAAUUCUUACCAAAAUGCUUCCAUGUUUCAAGUCAGAAAAAAGGUGGGUAACACUUAGAUGGUAUUUAUACUUUCUGUAAGUUAUGCAGAAUAUUUCAGAAGUGUGAAGGAUUGAUGAAAGUGUGAGAUCUCACAUGAAACCUGAUUCUCAGGCCCAUCGUCCAUCACAGCAAUAGCUAGCUAGAGGUAACACUUUCCAAGUUAAGAUUUAAAGUCCAGCCUUCCCUAACCCAACUUUUUUUUUUACAAUAUCUACUUUAUUUGUUACUAUUCAGCAUCCAGUAGUCAUCUAUCACCUUUUAAUUACAAUCUGUGAGUUGCAGGAAGUAAGGAUUCAUUUUAACAUUCUCAUACACAUAUUUCAUGUGCUUGUACAGUGUCCAGCCCUCAUUAGUGUCUCUUCUGUCUCUCCUUGCUUGUUCUCUUGCUCUUCACAAGUAUUCCCACUUCCAAUUCCAUGUCUUUUUUUUUAUCUAAUCCAGAUUCCAAAUAUAAGAGAAAAUGUGAUGUUUGUCUUUCUAUGCAUGUAACUUUGCCCACUCACAUACUACGUGAAUCUGUAUAGGGUAUAAAUACACUAGGAAAAGUAUUUCCUGAAAUUAUUUCCAAGCAGUCUCUGCCACUAAUAAUUGAGCUUGCUGUAAGUUAGAUAAAUUGUUGCAUUUAUAAGUAAAAAGAGUUCUUCAGAUCCUAAAAACACCUAUGAACACUUGAUCAUCUCACCUGAAUGUUCAUUUGUAAUAUUCAUUAACUAGCGACCCAUUCUCUUAAUAUGCCUUCCUUCUCUGAAUAGGCCAACAUACUUUCUAGUUAACUCUAUGCCUGAUUUCUCCAACUGAGUUUCUGUUUGCAAAAUUUCUACAAAGUCUACACCCACUCCUAACACUGAACUAGCUCAGAAAGACAGCUUAUUUGCCUUUGUCUUGAGUAUGGUUAGUAGCACAAGUUUUCAAUUCCUGUUGAAUCAUUAGCAUUUGUACAUAACCAAGCCCUCUCCAGAGCCUUGCCCUUGAUACCCUGUCUUUGAAGGUUUUGCAUUGUGUUUUCUAUAAGGUUUAAAUGAAAUGUUUACUUUUAUAGCACAUUACAACUGAAGAGGACUUAAGAGUUGUAACAUUAAAUUUCAGCUACUUACAAAAGACCUAAAGAACAGUAUCACUAACUGACAAUUAAUAUGUGAUUUAAAAAAAUGAAAGAGUUUGAGGUCAACCCCACACUUUCCUGUUCCUUAUACUAAAUUAUGGAGAUUUUGUUGAGAACUUUCUAAGAGCCCCAGACAACUCAUGGGCUAUAGCCAAAGGUUCAUUUGGAUAAGCUUUAAUAUUUAGAAAAUACCAGGCUUGAAAUGUUUCCAACCUGGAGUAUAUAUUGUCUAGACAUAAAAAAUAUUUUUGUCAGUCUUUCUUAGUGCCUAUGUGGACUUUUUGUGAAAAUGUUUAAAAAAGGAUAAUUAUAUAAUAUUUCCCUUGGAAUUUUAAGCUAUAUUUUCUUUACAGGUAUUUAUAAUGUACCAAUGCUUUUAUCAAACAGAAUUUUAAAAGGCAUAAUAAAUUAUAUUAAAGAACC
rnacentral:lncRNA from 1 species